rnacentral:antisense_RNA from 1 species
UUUGAUCGAGCCGAGCCACAGCGGCCGAUCGGCCGGCCGGUCCUGGCCGUAGGUGGCCAGAACCGCCUGGGCCUC